CUUGUUGUGGUGCAGUGGUUGUCACCGUUACCUCACAACAAAGAGGUUGCAGGUUCAAAUCCCUGCUGGCCAGG